AGAUGGCGACCGGCGCACGGGUGAGUAACACGUAUCCAACCUGCCGAUAACUCGGGGGUAGCCUUUCGAAAGAAAGAUUAAUACCCGAUGGCAUAAUUAGACCGCAUGGUCUUAUUAUUAAAGAAUUUCGGUUAUCGAUGGGGAUGCGUUCCAUUAGGGCAGUUGGUGAGGUAACGGCUCACCAAACCUUCGAUGGAUAGGGGUUCUGAGAGGAAGGUCCCCCACAUUGGAACUGAGACACGGUCCAA
rnacentral:rRNA from 1 species